rnacentral:rRNA from 1 species
AACCCUGACCGAGCAACGCCGCGUGUGCGAUGGAGUCCCUCAGGGACGUGAAGCACUGUGGGGGGCCGCCAAACGGGCGGGCAGGAAAUGGCCCGUCCCCGAGGAGCCCCCUAGAAAGCGACUGCUAACCACGUGCCAGCAGCAGCGGUAAUACGUGGGUCGCAAGCGUUAUCCGGAAUCAUUGGGCGUAAAGAGUGAGCAGGCGGUCCGGGAAGUCCGCGGUGAAAUGCGGGGGCUCAACCCCCGCAGGCCGCGGAUACUUCCGGUCUGGGGUGCGGGAGAGGCGGACGGAACUCCGCGUGUAGCGGUGAAAUGCACUGAUACGCGGAAGAACACCGGUGGCGAAGGCGGUCCGCCAGACCGAUACCGACGCUCAGUCACGAAAGCGUGGGGAGCAAAUAGGAUUAGAUACCCUAGUAGUCCACGCCGUAAACGAUGGGGGCCAGGGCGCGGGGUCGACCCGCGUCCGAAGCAAACGCAUUAAGCCCCCCGCCUGGGUACUACGUUCGCAAGAAUAAAACUUAAAGGAAUUGGCGGGUGCCCGCACAAGCAGUGGAGCAUGCGGUUCAAUUCGUGGCUACACGUAGAACCUUACCAGGGUUUGACAUGCCGGCAAAGGCCCCGGAGACGGGGAGAUAGCUAUGCCGGACAAAGGUGGUGCAUGGCUGUCGUCAGCUCGUGUCGUGAGAUGUUAGGUCAAGUCCUCCAACGAGCGCGACCCCCGCCGCCAGUUGCCAUCAUCGAGUUGGGCACUCUGGCGGGACCGCCGGCGACAAGCCGGAGGAAGGUGGGGAUGACGUCAAGUCAUCAUGCCCCUUAUGCCCUGGGCCACACGCGUGCUACAAUGGCCGGCACAGUGGGAAGCGACGCCGCGAGGCGGAGCGGAUCCCAAAAGCCGGUCCCAGUACGGACCGGGGGCUGCAACCCGCCCCCGCGAAGCUGGAAUUGCUAGUAAUCGCGGAUCAGCCAAGCCGCGGUGAAUGCGUUCUCGGGCAUUGCACACACUGCCCGUCACACCAUGAAAGCCUGCAACGCUCUAAGUCGCCAGCCCGACCCGAAAGGGGGGGCGGCGCCCAAGGCGGGGCCGGUGAUUGGGGUUAAGUCGAAACAAGGUAUCCCUACGAGAACGUGGGGAUG